UGGGUCGUCGCCAAGUGGUAAGGCACUAGGUUCUGGUCCUAGUAUCGGGGGUUCGAAUCCCUCCGACCCAA
rnacentral:tRNA from 1 species